ACUUUUAUUGAUAGCAGGUGGCAGCACCUAGCUGGACUUAGAAGCUAAAUAAGGCCCAGACUGGAUAGUAUUUGUAUGGGCAACAUCCAGGAAUACCAGCGUUGUAAGCA
rnacentral:rRNA from 1 species